rnacentral:tRNA from 1 species
UCCUGGCUGGCUCAGUCGGUGGAGCAUGUGACUCUUGAUCUCAGGGUUGUGAGUUCAAGCCCCACGUUGGGUA